CCAUGGCUGCUCUUGUCACCACACACUGCUGUGACCCUAAUGCUCAAAGCUGCCCGAGGGGCCCAGGAACUUCCCAGGGUCUGAACCUCCUGCAUCUCCAGAGCUCCUGCAAGUCAGAGUUGGAUCCACAAGGCACGGCCAUGUUGCAGCUUCACACUAGGUCCUGACAAGUUUACUGAGGCAGGAAGAAAGUGCCUUAUUAUUCCCAUUUGGUAAACGGAGAAAGAGGAAUCCAAACCCGUGUCUGACUCAUUCUGGAUCUCAAGGAUAACCACAGACUCAACUUCCCUUGAGCACAGAAGGCGAAAGGAUCACAUGACAAAUUUCUUGGCAGGGGGCCUUUUCUGGAAAGCCAGGCUGGAGCUCUAAGUGCUUCCACAGGCCCUGCUGUUGCUGGGCUUGAAGGAGAAGCUGAGACGGCUGCCUACACCAGGGCAGGAGGCUCUGCAACUGGAAGGUUCAGGCCAUUUCAGAUUUAAGACCUAAAUGCUGUUCAAAUAUUUGCCCAGCACCUCCCAGUGUGCUUUGGAACAAGCAGCAGGAGCAACCCUUGCUGAGUCAUGAAUGCUGAAGUGUUAGACAGAAAUGUGGACGCAAUGCCUUUUCAUGGCUCCCUUGUGAUUAGCCAGGGUCUCUCUCACCAUGGGGCCUGGUUACAAGGAGAGGGCUCUUCUGCUCGGCUGCUGGACAAGGUGGCACCUUCCGUAGUCUUGAGAUGAAGCUGGCCUACCCACACUGACAUCAAGCGGCUGGGACUGCCAGUGCUUUUCUGAGCUACAGAGCUGUUUCCAACAGUCUGUGAGAUUUCUCCUCCUAGGUGCCCUCAAAGCUUCUGAAUUCAUCACAUUCAAAAUAGAACACCCCAAACUUGUCUUCCUGUAUUCUCUCUUUCAGUUACCGGCCUCACCUCCUAGUCACCUUAUUUAGAAAAUGCUGAAUCAGCCUCGAUUCCUCUGCUCCUCUCCUCCUCCUCCGCCCCCUUUGUGUAAUUGAUUUUCCCUCCUGGUUUCUUUGCCUUCAGGAAGCCCCCAAGCCUCCCCUCAUCACCUGGAGUACAGAGCUGACACUGAGUCCUGGCCAUAUCGCUCCCUUCCCCUGCCCUUUUCUGACCCGGGGUGGGUGCAUGACCCAAGCUGAGGUCAUCAGAGCCCUUCCGCAGGAUUCUCCAAGCUGAAGCAGAGAGUUGAACACUUGUUUCCUCUCUGAUUCCUAGCUGGAAGGCUGGGAAUCUAGAGAGGCCUGUGGCCAUGUGCCCUGCUGCCUGCAAAGCCUUAUUUGCAGCAGGGGAGAAGGGGAACACGCUGCAGAGAGUAGCCCUGACAGAGGAAUGCAGAGACAAUAGCUGAGCAGAUGGACUUCCUAAUUCAGCCCCGCCUGAGAUCGGCUCUGUCCUCCUUCCAACCCAUCCUCCUCAGAGUCACCAGGAUUCUGUACCAUUUUCUCCAACUUUUCGUUUUAAAAAAGAUCCAACUACAGAGACAUUCACAGAAUAAUCCAGUGAACACCCACAUAUCCUUCACUCAGAUUCACCAACUGUUAAGAAUUCAGCCACAUCUGUAUCUUCUCUCUGUGUAAACGUACACAUUUUUGUCCUGCUCUAUUUGAAAACAAGUUGCUGAAGUCAGGACACU